UCUUAUGGAUGAGCAAGGAACGUGGUUUCUUGAGAUGGAAUUUACUCCUGGUGAAGACUCUGUGAA
rnacentral:pre_miRNA from 1 species